rnacentral:lncRNA from 1 species
CACAAGCUGAAGCCCAGCCUGGGCAACUUACUGAUUUAGUGAAAUUCUGUCUCAAAAUUAAAAAUUUUAGAAGGGUUGGGGAUGUUACUCAAUGUGAAGGCCCUAGGUUCAAUCCCCAGUAUUGCUAAAUAAGUAAAAGUUAGAAAUAAAAAGGGCUGGGGAUAUAGCUCAGUAGUAAAACUCCCCCGGGGUUUGAGCCCCAGUACUGAAAAUCAAAACAAGUGAACAAAAAAAACCCCAGAAUAACCAAGAUAACAAAUAGGGAAAGUUAUCAUAUUAACAGUUAAUGAAAAUAACAUUAUGCCAGCCUGAAACACAUGGCAAGACCCUGUCUCAAGAAAAAAACUUUCAGAACAGUUAUGUUUUCCAAAAUCAUACACCAGCUGGCUAAGGAUUUUUUUUUUUUUUUUUUGAGACAGGGUCUCACUGUGUAGUUCAGGCUGACUUUAAACUCACUGUGUAGCCCAGGCUGGCCUCAAACUCUCCACAAUCCUGCCUCAAGCCUCCCAAGUGCUGGGAUUACAGGCAUGUGUCACCACGCCUGGCAGGAUUUAAUUUCUUUUUUGGUACCGGGGAUUGAACUUGGGUCCUUGUGCUUGUGCAGCAGGCGGCGAAACCACUGAGCUAAAUCCCCGGCCCAAGGAUUUAAUUUCUAAACCCUGGUAUUUUCAUCACUGUCAGGGAGUUUGAAGGGUGUGUAGAUGGAUGGUGUCAGAAAGGCAUUCCCAGAAGGAGAGAUAUCUGUAAAAAUUGUGGGGACUUGGAGGCAUAAAUAGGGCACCUGCCUCAUGUGUGGGAAGCCCUGGGUUCAUCCCCAGAACUGAAAAAAUAAUGGAUGGACUUUAAGGAUAUUUAGUCAGUUUAACUGGAGAAAAACUCCCCAAAUUGUAAUCAAGUAUCAACCUCAUAAAAUUUGUCCUAAGCAAGGAAAGUUAUCCAAUCAUGGGUUUGCUGGGCAAGCUUUAUGUUUUAUACCAAUGGAAAUAAAUAUGUAACUGUUAACAACUUUGCUCAUACUCCAUUAAAACCAUCUCAGGCCCCAGUGGUAGUCAUGUGCCACUCUGGAGAACACUGCCCAAGGGAGUUCCCAGCACCACCUGGGAGGCAGGAUUGUCACUGAGCUGGGGCCCUGGAGGUCCCUAGGGUAAAAGAAAGAACCUGAUCCACCCUUUUGUAGAAUAAGUUUGCAGGCUCUCUGACUCCUGUCAUGGAGAAAGAAUUUUCAGGACGCAUCAGUAAGAGGCACAGGAAUAAUAGGGAGAGAUUUAGGGCACACUUGGGAAUGAAGUGCAGACAUUCAGAGAAAUGAGAUGAAUUAUUUCCUGUAUGCUUCUCUUAAGGGGUGGAAACCCUGGGAGAAGGUGGCCACCCCCCAGAAGGUGCUAGGCCAUUCUACAGGCCUUGGCUCUGUUUUGUUUGUUUUUAAAAAUUUAAACCUUUGGGGC